UUUUUUUGGCCUUGUUUGAAACAGGACGCCGCCGCCGUUAAUUCCUCCGACUGUGUUUUCUUCAAUUUUCGUCUUACACCUUUAAACUUCAUCCGACCUGACACGGCCCGACCCCCUCACACCACCGGAAUAGAUGUUCUUCGAGAGGGACGGGAUCAACAGCGACGUAAAAGAGGGACGAGCCAGCGAGGUGACAAUUAAGCAUCCCACAAAAAGAAACCACCCAACCCAACAGCCAACAUUUGAGAGCGAUGGGAGAAAAGAAGUAAAAGAAAAAAAAGAGAAAACGAAAAGCAGCCUGCGCAUCACUGAAGGUCUCUCCCCCUUGUUCUGGCCCCUCUUCAUACAGAUGGGGAAGUGCAGCGUUUAGGAAUUGUUCAACUCUCGACGACCAAAAGUCAUUGAAUCGAUGGGAUACAAGUGACAGCGGAUCGAAUCGGCACUUUGACAAAUGACAUUUCACGCCGACCCUCAAACUCCCCUUGUCCGUUGCAUGAACUUUUUCCUCUGGCCGUCCGCUGUAUGCCUGCCACCAAAAUGCAUUGUGACCGGCAUGCACGCCCGCCAUGUUGUCACACACUCGGCCGUGUCCGCAUACUUUUCUUUCAAGAGCUCUUUCUUCUCCCACACUCGCUCAAAAGCGAUUCCAAGUCUGUCGUCUUUUUUCCACCUUUCACGCGGAACGACCCUCUCUCAAUGGAAGUUGCUGUCAUCUAUCUGUUAUAAAGUGAUGUCGCCCCUUUUUCGGCACGGUCGCAUACAGAUCUGCACCAUUCAAGCUUCAUUACCAAGCCGACUGGCCGGCCAACGGGCUUUUUGGGGUAGCCCACCUUAAGACGAGUCAGUGGUGCGCGCCCGCUAGUUUCGAAAUCCCGCCGAGCACUUCUCCAUCAUAGUGUCGUGUUGAUGUGGCACCCUUUGCCCCUCGACAGCAUCAUACGUUGUUGUGUACCGCGUCAGCUCUGGUAAUUCGUUUUUUUCUUUUCCGUCUAUGUCGUCUUCCUCUUCAGGCUAUGGGCUACAUAGCCGUCAUAAGAGAGAAAGAAAGAAAAAAGGAAAACUCCAGAACUAAAUGGACUCUCUGGCAUUCUCAAGAAUUUUUCACGGUGUUUGCCAUUGCAUUCUUGCGCAUUCACGAGCGUCUUUGUGUUGGUGUAAGCACGAGUGUGCUCACUACAGGAUGACCGCUGCUGUUGUGUUGGUAACAAAUGCAGUCAUUCAUUAUUUUGGGUUUUGAGCACGAUAUUUUUCGCACCCCCUUCCCGAAUAAGGAAAAUGCUAAACAGACUAUCCAAGAAAAAUCCAAGAAAAAUGAUGUAUGCCUUAAUGAACUUGAAUAGGAUGGACUUUCUUUUGCAGGAAACUUGAAAAUUAAGAGAUCGUCAACUAUCGUAUCGCCGUGAGAAACCGAAGCUAGACAGAAAUGUGCUGUGGAGAUGGUUUACCUUUUAUGGCGCAAUGCUAUACUUGCCUGUAAAGGAAUAAAUACGUCUAUGGAAAAGGAUUAUUUUCCAUUUUUAAAUAUAGGACAUUCCACAUUACUUGGCUCCUCUUUGGUGUUAAAGUUAGUUUUCCCCCCGAAAAUGCGCACAGACAGUGAAACGAGUUUCCUGGAAAUGAGCAAACAGCAAGGGCUUCGUUCGAUUGUUCAAUAGACUGAAGAAGAUAGUCUGUAAGGUGUCCUUUCUUUUUACCUGUUUUUUAGGCUAUGUCUUCCUCUUUUUUUACACUUGAAAACAGAGUAUGCUCUAUUAUUAUUUUUUUUUCUCUUUUAGUUGGAGGAUCUGUGGUGAAUAAAGCGGUAAUCACAACCAACUGCAGCAUCAAGGUUGGCUGGAGACCUUUUGUCCGAGGGCCUUCUCUUGUAUCGUCCUAAAGUCGACACGUCAUGGCCAAUGAAAAGCUUCAUUCUGACUGUCAUGCCAUCACUGAAAAAAGCUUUGAUUAUUAUUUUUUUGUAUGUGCUUUCUUGCAUAUUGCGUGUUACCCCCUCAACCGCUCUCAUCUUACAUAUUCUUUUCUUUUUCAGUUCUGCAGGCUGAGCUGUCAGUCGACCCAACUGGCCGGACAAUCGUGCCAAAUUAGCGCAACGUCCGUUUGAAUAUUCAUUGUCUCCACUGCAUAGAUACGUCAGACUGAGGCUGUAUAGCUAUCAUUCACUGUUAUUACAGCUACUAGCUUCUUUGCGUAAAGACCUUCGUAAGAAAGCCAUCAGCUACCGUGCGUAAGCUGUUUUAUCCAGAAGAGGAUUACGUUCUCUGCGUAAACUAGAUUUCCAGUAGGCUGCCAUGUUGUACGUGUUUUCAGCCAAGUGAUUUCAUAGCAGUCUGUUUAGUUAUUCGAAAAAGGAAUAACUAACCAAUGGUGUUCAUAUAUAUGGGCAUUUAGGCAAUCAUCAAGAAUCUUCUCCUUCCAAGAUUCUACUUAUUGCAAAUCGGGUAUCCAUUUUUCAACGUAAAACCAUAUGGCAACCAAAAUUUUAGGAGACACGCCGUACCAAAAGGGAUACAGAUGAUUGUGUACUACAACUUAGUGGAAUGAGAAUCGGCAAUUUUACGCAGCAUCAGACAGUCAGUCGCUUGAAAUUGACGACAUUUGUAAGCCGUACGUUGGACAUAGUGAUGAUAGUGAUUCCUCUUCCCUCCUCUCGCCAUUCAAAACAACGUACAUCAUCUCAACAGAUUAUAGGUUUGACGUAAUAACAUGGAAGUCAUUGAUAUUUCCCCUGCGAUUGAACCACUACAAGAGUGGCUUCAAGCUUUUACAUAUAUAUGCUGUUUUACGUUUUAGUUAAACAAAAAGUGCUUGUCGUAUAAGGCAUCUUCUCUUCUAUCUGUUCAAAUUGAAAAUUACAACUGUUCAUUAAUUUUCACCCUUGCAUGAUUUCAUGGUCUACCCAAGUUCUUGAAUAAAUUGCAAAAAACAACUAACCCAAAUAUGUGCGCUAACAGCAUUUUUUCCGUUUAUUGAAAAAUAGUUGGCCUUACUAGAAAACAAACACCGAUAUCGUAAUUAGCGUUCAAUUUGAGAUAUACUGUGUUAUUUUUGUUGGAU